GCCGAUGUAGCUCAGUUGGUAGAGCAACUGAUUCGUAAUCAGUAGGUCGGGUGUUCGAUUCACCUCAUCGGCACCA
rnacentral:tRNA from 1 species